rnacentral:rRNA from 1 species
UACGUAGGGAGCAAGCGUUGUCCGGAAUCAUUGGGCGUAAAGAGCGCGUAGGCGGUCCGGUAAGUCGGUUGUGAAAACUGGGGGCUCAACCCUCAGAGGCCGACCGAUACUGCCGGGCUAGAGUCCGGAAGAGGCGAGUGGAAUUCCUGGUGUAGCGGUGAAAUGCGCAGAUAUCGAGAGGAACACCAGUGGCGAAGGCGAGUCCCUGGACAACACCUGACACUGAGGCACGAAAGCUAGGGGAGCAAACAGG